GACGUAGGGGGCGAGCGUUAUCCGGAUUUACUGGGCGUAAAGGGCGCGUAGGCGGACCGUAUUGCCACCAUUGAAAGCGCGAGGCUCAACCUCGGAAUGGGUGGUGGGACGAGCGGUCUAGGGGCAAGCAGAGGAAGGUGGAAUUCCGGGUGGAGUGGUGAAAUGCGUAGAGAUCCGGAGGAACACCAGGGGCGAAGGCGGCCUUCUGGGCUUGACCCGACGCUGAGGCGCGAAAGCGUGGGGAGCGAACUGA
rnacentral:rRNA from 1 species